rnacentral:rRNA from 1 species
GACGAACGCUGGCGGCGUGCUUAACACAUGCGAGUCGAACGAAAAGAGGGAAAGAGCUUGCUCUUUCCGGAAUUGAGUGGCAAACGGGUGAGUAACACGUAAACAACCUGCCUUCAGGAUGGGGACAACAAACGGAAACGACUGCUAAUACCGAAUAAGUUCCAAGAGCCGCAUGGCCCAUGGAAGAAAAGGUGGCCUCUACCUGUAAGCUAUCGCCUGAAGAGGGGUUUGCGGCUGAUUAGCUGGUUGGGGGGGUAACGGCCCACCAAGGCGACGAACAGUAGCCGGUCUGGGAGGAUGAACGGCCCCACUGGAACUGGGACACGGUCCCGACUCCUACGGGAGGCAGCAGUGGGGAAUCUUCCGCAAUGGGCGAAAGCCUGACGGAGCAACGCCGCGUGAGUGAUGACGGCCUUCGGGUUGUAAAACUCUGUGAUCCGGGACGAAAAGGCAGAGUGCGAAGAACAAACUGCAUUGACGGUACCGGAAAAGCAAGCCACGGCUAACUACGUG